UGGGGAAUCUUGGACAAUGGGCGCAAGCCUGAUCCAGCCAUGCCGCGUGAGUGAUGAAGGCCUUAGGGUUGUAAAGCUCUUUUUGCCGGGGACGAUAAUGACGGUACCCGGAGAAUAAGUCCCGGCUAACUUCGUGCCAGCAGCCGCGGUAAUACGAAGGGGACUAGCGUUGUUCGGAAUCACUGGGCGUAAAGCGCACGUAGGCGGAUUUGUAAGUCAGGGGUGAAAUCCCGGGGCUCAACCUCGGAACUGCCUUUGAUACUGCGGAUCUCGAGUCCGAUAGAGGUGAGUGGAAUUCCUAGUGUAGAGGUGAAAUUCGUAGAUAUUAGGAAGAACACCAGUGGCGAAGGCGGCUCACUGGAUCGGUACUGACGCUGAGGUGCGAAAGCGUGGGGAGCAAACAGGAUUAGAUACCCAAGUAGUCCCUGAGCGGGCUGGCAAGGCGCAU
rnacentral:rRNA from 1 species